ensembl:lncRNA
GGAGUACAUCUGUGAUCUGUUCACAAUUUAACCCUUUACAGAAAUAUAAUGGUGAUCAGUCAUGCCUCUAUAUCAGACCCUCCCGAGGACGCUUGAUGUCAUCUCGUCCCUCCUGGUCAUUAUACUGCUGUCUCCUCUCAACAAUACUGCCCUCUCAGCGGUCUGCUCUAGCUGCUUCUCCACUUGAAAUGCCUGGCUGGCCUCUUCUCGCAAACCUACAUGAAAUUGUGUGCUAAAACGUUGCGUGGUCCUCCCCUUACUCCUCCCACUAACCGUGUUUUUAGGACACAACAAAGGAGACCCCCAGACAACUUGGCUGAUGGACUGUUAUCAGGAAUCAAUGUUCAUGUGAAAGCAAAAGAUGCUCAAGUGUCUGUGAUCAUCCAUUUAAUCUAAAAGGGACAGUCCACU